UUCUUUUUGGUUUUGUAAUUUAAAAAGUAGGCCCUGCCCGGUGUUUGUUUAAUAAACGGUUGUAGUUCGACCUAUACUAAGGUAGCGUAAUCCUUUGCCUUUUAAUUGAGGGCUGGUUGAAGGGGUUGACAUAGGACUAACUGUUUCGUAUCAAUAGGUUGAAAUUUAUUUUCAGGUGAAAAGGCCUGGAUAGUUCUGAGGGACGAGAAGACCCUGUCAAGCUUUAUUAAGGCUGAUGGAAUAUUAAGGUGUUUAUUGGGUUUUGGUUUAACUGGGAGAGUUGAAAUAUUAAAGUUUUUGGAGUUGUGCUUGGUCCAUUAUUAAUGCGAUAGGGUAGCUACUGCAGGGAUAACAGCGUUAUCUACUUGGUGAGUUCGUAUCGAUAAGUAGGUUUGCGACCUCGAUGUUGGACUAGGAUUUCCUUUAGGUGUAGCAGUCUAGGAGG
rnacentral:rRNA from 1 species